rnacentral:rRNA from 1 species
AUUGAACGCUGGCGGCAGGCCUAACACAUGCAAGUCGAACGGAGUGGCGGACGGGUGAGUAAUGUCUGGGAAACUGCCUGAUGGAGGGGGCUAACUACUGGAAACGGUAGCUAAUACCGCAUACUAUCAGAUGAGCCUAGGUCGGAUUAGCUAGUUGGUGGGGUAAAGGCAUACCAAGGCGACGAUCCGUAACUGGUCUGUGAGGAUGAGCAGUCACACGGGAACUGAGACACUGUCCAGACUCCUACGGUAGGCAGCAGUGGGGAAUAUUGGACAAUGGGCGAAAGCCUGAUCCAGCCAUGCCGAGUGUGUGAAGAAGGUCUUCGGAUUGUAAAGCACUUUAAGUUGGGAGGCGUUACCAACAGAAUAAGCACCGGCUAACUUCGUGCCAGCAGCCGCGGUAAUAC